rnacentral:rRNA from 1 species
GACGAAGGUGGCGAGCGUUGUUCGGAAUCACUGGGCAUAAAGCGCACGUAGGUGGCGGCGUAAGUCGGGUGUGAAAUCCCUCGGCCUAACCGAGGAACUGCGCCCGAUACUGCGUUGCUUGAGGGUCAAAGGGGUGCAUGGAAUUCCAGGUGUAGCGGUGAAAUGCGUAGAUAUCUGGAGGAAUACCGGUGGCGAAGGCGGCAUCCUGGACCGGCAUUGACGCUGAGGAGCGAAAGCCAGGGGAGCAAACGGG